rnacentral:rRNA from 1 species
GACGAGGGAUCCUAGCGUUGCUCGGAAUCAUUGGGCGUAAAGCGGGUGUAGGUGGCUUGGUAAGUCAGAUGUGAAAGCCCAGGGCUUAACCCUGGAAGUGCAUUUGAUACUGCUGAGCUUGAGUGCCAGAGAGGUUACUAGAAUACCUGGUGUAGUGGUGAAAUACGUAGAUAUCAGGUGGAACACCGGAGGCGAAGGCGAGUAACUGGCGGGACACUGACACUGAGGCCCGAAAGUGCGGGGAUCAAACAGG